GAAACAUCUGAUUAGGGAGUACUAAUUUGGAUUACUUUGCAAGAUUAGUUAUAAUGUUACUUUGCAAGAUUAGGGAGUACUAAUUUGGAUUACUUUGCAAGAUUAGUUAUAAUGUUAUUUGAACUGCAUAAUUUUGAGUAAAAUGGGUAAUUAGUGAGUGAUAGAGAUGUUUGGAAAAUCCUAAGCUCACUUAAAACGUUUCUAUCAACAGGCAAGUUGUUCCAGCUUCGGCCAAUGUGGUGCAAAUGUCGAUUCAGACUCCAGUCCAAGUAAUGUAAAAGUGCUAAUGGGGAUAGCAGAGGACAUGCUGAAGCAGAAAAGUGUAGAGUCUGUCCUCUUCAGUGGUAAGAAGAUGGGAGAGCAGAGCAACUUGGAGAAACUCGACUGGUUUGCCGACCAACUUGUGCUAGAGCAUCAGAAGAGGAGUUGCCGGAUAGCUCCCACUGUCGCGUUCAAGAAACCAACAAGCAGGCCUUAAGCAACUUCCGGAAAUUCAAAACACUCAUCCAUUAAAGCAAAAUUAAACGGUAAAUGGUAAGAGAAAAAACAAUGUAAAGUGAUAUACUAGUAUAUAGCAACUUUCACAUUUUGAGAAGGAUAGGAGAAGUGGGGUCUGAGUUUGUGUUGUGAAAAAAGGUUGUGUGUGGGAUUCUUUGCCGGCCAGCGGCGGAGCACGGUGGAAGCCGCCACACCACGGUGGUCUUUGAAAGUUGUACUACCUUUUUCUCUUUUUUAAUUGGAUGAUGUAAUGAGUACUCCUAUUCUAUCCUAAGUUCUUGGUGGUUUAUCUUUUUGAA